UCUCAGUCUAUAUCUCCAGAUGACUACAAUGAUUCCAGGAGCAUACUUAGUCGAGCAUUAGAUGUUCGUGAGUAUUCCGGUCGGGUGAGGGGUAUGGGACAUGGGGUUACUCCAACAUCCUUGACAAAGAAAAAUCCAAAGACAAAAUCCCCUAGCAAUAAAGAACUGCAUGCAAAGUUGCAUGCAUUAGAAGAUGAAGUUCGUGAAUUGAGAAAGGAAAAAGAAAAAGAUCAAUCGGAAAGGGAAGCUUUAGGUUUUAAAGAUACUAGUGACAAAGCUAGUGUCAAUUGUAAUGUUCAACCGAAUACUCCCGAGGUAAUUAUAUAUAUCAUUAUGAAAUUAAAUUAG